ensembl:ncRNA lncRNA:CR45536 long non-coding RNA:CR45536
UACCAUCCCGAUGAUCCUCAGAUGGAAAUGUAUCUUAUGGCUGCAAUUUAGGAGCAGGAUCAGCACUGGCCACUAAUCCACUGAACAUAAAACAUAAUUUUCACACACAUUUCCGACGAAAGCAACUUCGCGACGGACCGAAAAAUAAGCAGAACCUGUCGGCUCGAGAGCAGAAGAACAUUUGGCCAGCCUCGAAUAUCUCCAGCUUGGCCAGAAUUUGAGAACCAGACUGGGAAAGCCAGCCUUUCCAUUCCACUUUUCCCCACUUUGGCCAACAGCU